rnacentral:lncRNA from 1 species
GAGGAUCAAGCUGCAGGUGAAACCACCGUUUCAAAGGUGGAUAAUGCCGGUACCAGUGGUUUCACUCGUAGUGGAAGGCUGUUUGCUCCUGAUGCCUUGAGGGGAGGAGAAGGAGAAAAAGAGAAAAAAGAAAAGGCCGAGGCUUUAGCCAGGGCAAAAGGAAAACAAGCUGUGGUGAAUGAUGGUACUCCAAUGGUGACACCGGCGCCUGUUGGGCCGGAGAGAGAGCUUGAUGAUGAUGCAGAAGAAUUUC